AACAGGUUCUGACUCCAUUUAGCAGCAGAACAGAACAAAGAGAAGACUCUGGAUCAGGGCUGCCUGAAGUCCAGGAGAUGGAGAACAGAGCAGAACCUCCAGGAUCCAGCAUUCCGUCCAUAGAAAAACCUCCAGACUUCAGUGAAGAACCUGGACCCUCAGACUCAGAACCAGGACCUGGACUGCUGGCAGCCAAUCAGAGCAGCUGUGCUCCAGGUGAGACUGAACAUCUCCAAUCAGAACUUCCUUCUAUCGUCUCUGUUGGACUAAUUCCUCGUCUUUAGUUGGCAUUUGGAAAUCUAAGUGUUUAAAGUCUUUCUGGGAUCGAUUAUUUCCCCUGAAUCUCUGG